rnacentral:rRNA from 1 species
GACGAACGCUGGCGGCGUGCUUAACACAUGCAAGUCGAGCGGUAAGGCCCUUUCGGGGGUACACGAGCGGCGAACGGGUGAGUAACACGUGGGUGACCUGCCCUCAGCUCUGGGAUAAGCCUGGGAAACCGGGUCUAAUACCGGACAUGACUCCAUGACGCAUGUUGUGGGGUGGAAAGCCUUGUGCGGCUGAGGAUGGGCCCGCGGCCUAUCAGCUUGUUGGUGGGGUGAUGGCCUACCAAGGCGACGACGGGUAGCCGGCCUGAGAGGGCGACCGGCCACACUGGGACUGAGACACGGCCCAGACUCCUACGGGAGGCAGCAGUGGGGAAUCUUGCGCAAUGGGCGAAAGCCUGACGCAGCGACGCCGCGUGAGGGAUGACGGCCUGGUGU